UGGGGAAUCUUGGACAAUGGGGGCAACCCUGAUCCAGCGACGCCGCGUGGGUGGUAAGGCCUUAGGGUUGUAAAAUUCUUUCAACGGUGACGAUAAUGACGGUAGCCGUAGAAGAAGCCCCGGCUAACUUCGUGCCAGCAGCCGCGGUAAUACGAAGGGGGCUAGCGUUGUUCGGAAUUACUGGGCGUAAAGCGCGCGUAGGCGGAUUCUUAAGCCAGAUGUGAAAUCCCGGGGCUCAACCCCGGAACUGCAUUUGGAACUGGGAGUCUAGAGGUCAGGAGAGGUUCGUGGAAUGCCGAGUGUAGAGGUGAAAUUCGUAGAUAUUCGGUGGAACACCAGUGGCGAAGGCGACGAACUGGACUGAUACUGACGCUGAGGUGCGAAAGUGUGGGGAGCAAACAGGAUUAGAUACCCGGGUAGUCC
rnacentral:rRNA from 1 species